AACCUGCAUGAAGUAGGUUAUGAUAGAGAACUUCUAUUAUCUCUGCAAGCAUCUCCUUCUCCCUCGUAACCCUCACAUUUCUGAACCGUGCCACCGUCUUCCGUGGAUCUCGACAGCAGCACACGUACCAGUUCCCGGGGUGAUACAGGCGAGGCGGCGGCGACCUAGUGUAGAAGAAGAGAAUCGAGGUGAUAGUGGAGAGUGAUGGCAGGAAGUUGUUCUAAAAUUGACAUACCUGAAUUUCCACCAAAUCUUAAUAUCCUUGCCAUUGAUACUGACGUCGAAGUUCUUGAAUUCAUCAAGAAAUCAUGCAACGAGAAUUUUCAUCGAGUUACGACAUGCACUGAAAAGUGCAGUCGAUCUUUUGCUGAAAAAAGAAAUAAACUUUCAUUUGAUUAUCAUGGAACUCCAUAUGCCAAUGAUGGAUGGCUUUGAAUUUCUGUGUUUUCUCAACAAAGAAGUAAUUGAUGUUCCUUUCAUAGUGAUGUCCGAGAAUGAUACUGACCCAUCCCAAGAGAAGGCUUUUACACUUGGAGCUUGCGAUUAUUGGGUUAAACUCUUUUUAGAGUUUACGAAUUUGUUCGAUAGGGGGCGUUUGUGUUCACCUAUGAUGCGACAUCAUUUCUACUUCAGGCGCAUAAGGAAAAAUAUUGAUAACUUGGAAGAUGAUGAAACAAGUGAGACAAAUUAUAGUUCUGAUGGAGAAGCCGAAGCCGAUGAUAGUCCCCAUACCUAACAGAAUAAACUAAAUAAAAUUAAUAAAUUUUAAUGUCAAACAUGCUAAUUCAUAACGGGAAUAUUGGUUUGAAACAGCUUGUAUAUGAAGAAGUUAAGUCAUCCUAGGGUUGAUUGGGUGAUUUGUUCAAUCAGAUAAAAUCAUAGCUAAAAUUUUGGAGAUAAAAUAGUCUCCUAAAAUAGAGCGAUUGCUGCCAUUCCAACCAGCCUUCACAGCUAUUGAUAACAUAGUUGAAGACUACUUCCUAUUAUUAAUCUAUUUAAGAUAUAACUGAAG